UUACGGCCACAUCAUGUUGAAACACCGGUUCUCGUACGAUGACCGAAGUUAAACAACGUCAAGCGUGGUCAGUAGAUGGGUGCCCACUUGUGAAUACCAGGUGGUGUA